GGGGAUACAAAGAAGCCUUUGCUCUCCCUACCAUCCCCAGACCAAUGGACUGGUGGCGAGGAUCAAUGGGGCCAUCCAGAGGGCCAUAUCAAAACUUGCACAGGAGAGGCCAGAGGAGUGGGACAAGCACUUGGAUGCUGUGAUGUUCGGACUCAGGACUAAGCGCCAAGUUACCACUAAAUUCUCCCCAUAUUUUUUAAUGUUUGGGAGAGAGGCAAGGUACCCCAGCGAGAUCCCUGAAGAAUACAGGGUGGAUGGGAGUGUUGAGAACAACAUUUCAGUUGAGGAAAUGACUGAGGAUAUCCUUAAACUGGAUGAGGCACUUCAAAGUGCAAUAAAUAAUAACCAGGCCAAAACUCCCA